UUGGCCGAUGUCAUCUUAAUUGAAACAACGUCUUGCCGAGGGCCACCGCACCGGGCGUCGCUCCUGGCGGCGGUGUCCACCAAAACCAACAAUGGAGAUGACAAAAUAACCGUCUAUCCAAGCUCUACACACAUCCAAGGUCAAUUUCACAUAAUAUGGCCUCUAAAUCCCUAACUGAUCCUAAACGUCCCAAGAACCCUAAAAUGAAAAGCUCUAAUUAAAUUCUAUCCUCACUGAUUCAAAGCCCUAUGGGUGAGGGGUUUGAAUCCUCUCAACGUCUUCUACAUGCUGGUAAGUGGAAUUGAAGAAAAUGAGUAUGGUUGAGACUUACUGUGGCCGGAGAAAGACGAAGAUAAUGAUGAUGAUGAACUUAUGAUUCCAGGUCAAAGCAUGUUGCCUUGAAUUACAUCUCUAUUGCACUGGACUAUUGGUGUGAGACCAUAGUGUUAAUUUGCACUGCACUUAGAGCCAAGUUUGCAAUGACUUUGAAGUUUCAUUUAAAAUGGCCUUGUUGUACUGUGGGUUACGCCAUACUCUGACUUGGUUUUCUUUGCAGUCACAGGUUCAAUAUGGUAAACCAAGUCAGUCUAAAAUCCACUCUUGCUGCUUAUGCCUUGCCUUACCCUAUUAACUGAACUUGAUGAUGGGUUGCAGGAUGUUGUUGGCUCAGAUUUUGAGUGUCUUGAACUGCCAUGACUGUAUUGCAAAUCUUUCACUCUUGUGUUAUUGUGGAUUGAAGUGUUGCUGGCUACAUAUGUUGUUGUAUGUUGCAGGACAUGGUUCAUGCUAUACAUUGCAUUGGUUUUGUUAGUAAGGUUAGACCAUGGUAGUAAGCUGGUCUUGCUGCAGGAUGAAGUAAUUUUUUAACUGCUGGUUCAUAUGAUAGUCAUGUUGUAUCAUGCAUGUUAUGCAUAGCUAGUUCCAAUUGUGAUUUGACUUCCUUCAAGUGAUACAUGUAGGGUCAUGUUAAGCUGGAAAUCUCAAGGGCUUGGAUGUGAUUAUGCAGUGCUCUAGUUGGCAUGAACCUGGCACAUAAUGAAGCUUCAAUUCAGCAACACUGUCCAUUGAGGUAUGUGUGUAAUUAUUGUUGAAUGUUGUAUUUUGACUUAGGCAAAGCUUUGUGGUGAGUGUAGGGUUUGUUACAGAUUGUACACUAUGAUCAAUGGUUGAUAGGUUGGGAAAUCACUUGUGCAUUAUGGUUUGUCAUGGGUCAUGGUGUAGCAGUAUUAGUUUGUGUUGCCUUGGCUUGAUGCAAAAAUGUUGGCAGUGUUUUGAAUGUGUUGUAAGAUUUGUUCCUGUUGGAUACAAACGUAAAGCUAGUCAUGGUUUUAGUGGUUGCACUGCAGGUCAUCCAGCAUCUUCUUUAUAGGCAUAUGCAGUGAUGCUGAUGUUGAAGUAUACCAAAACCUGGAUGAAGGGACCUAUCACUUGGUGGAUUAUAUUUGCAACAACUUGUGAAGAUAAGAACCUGUCAUGAGAUCCUUAGAUGGGUUUGUACUUCCUUGUCCUGAAUUCCAAUUAGCACUUGUCUGCAUUGCAGACAUCAUCCCACUGUGCAGUUUUCCAAUGGUAUUGCUUCUAUUUGAAUUCUUCAUGUUUCCAUUGUCACUUGGAACUUCAUUUGCAAGCAAGUCAUGGUAAUUUCAUUAAGUCACCACCUUGAUUUUCAUGUUGGUUUCAAGCCAUCUUGGUGUCAUAUGCCAAGCAUAAGCCAACCCUGUUAACAUGUUUUCAAUGUAGAUUACCAAGUGAAUCCAUAAAUCAAUUCAAAGAGACAAAACAAUCAUGAUCU